rnacentral:rRNA from 1 species
UGACUGCGGAGGACAUUAUCGAGUUCUGAAAGGGGUUGUCGCUGGCCUUAAUUCAAGGCAUGUGCACGCCCUGCUCAUCCACUCUCAUUACCCCUGUGCACUUUAUUGUAGGCUGGGUCGGAUAACCUGACAUGAGUUGGGUUUGAAAGCCUCGUCUAUGUUUUUAUAAACACGCUUCAGUCUUAGAAUGUCAUCAUUGCAUAUAAUGCAUUAAAUACAACUUUCAGCAACGGAUCUCUUGGCUCUCGCAUCGAUGAAGAACGCAGCGAAAUGCGAUAAGUAAUGUGAAUUGCAGAAUUCAGUGAAUCAUCGAAUCUUUGAACGCACCUUGCACUCCUUGGUAUUCCGAGGAGUAUGCCUGUUUGAGUGUCAUGAUAUUCUCAACCUUCAAAGUCUUUGUGGCGAUGGAGGCUUGGAUGUGGAGGUCGUGUUGGCGCAAGUCAACUCCUCUGAAAUGCAUGAGUGUGAACUGUUACAGAUCACUUUCAGUGUGAUAAUUAUCUACGCUGUGGUGUUGACGUACGCAUUGAGUUCAUGCUUCCAACUGUCUUGAUAGACAACAUAUUCUGACCAUCUGACCUCAAAUCAGGUAGGACUACCCGCUGAACUUAAGCAUAUC